CUCUCAAAGUAGCUGGAACUACAGGCAUGUUCCACCACGCCCAGGAAAUAAAAAUGAUUCCUGAAUCUGCUGGCCACUGGAGAGCUGUGAACACUUUCUCUGCCAACAAGGAUGACUAGAUUACCCAAUUAUCAAAGGCAAACAAAGACAAACUGGCUAUUCGAGUACUGCAAACCAGAUAGGAAAGGUAUUUUCUGGGAAACUCACCAUGCUUGAUGGUGAUCUCAUCCCAAAAUCUGCUACUGGAUGUAUCAGGCAGAUAAGGGUUUUGGGGUAACAAAGAAAAGAAAGGCUGAUCAUCUGAUUGGUGAAAUAAAUGAGUCUUAGGAGCAAGACUGGAGAAAACCAGGAAGGAAAGAGAGCACUUUCCUGGCAGUGAUGCAAUCACCUCACAGAACUGUGGAGCUGUAAAUGGCCUUGUAGGGAACAAUAAACCAUCUGAGAUAAUGGCCUUGA